rfam:Fukomys damarensis contig124568, whole genome shotgun sequence.
AGCUCAAUGGUAGAGCACUUGCCUUGUCAUGCAAGAGGGCCUGGGUUCAAUCUCCCAG